rnacentral:rRNA from 1 species
CACGUAGGGCGCAAGCGUUUGUCCGGAAUUAUUGGGCGUAAAGAGCUCGUAGGCGGUCUGUUACGUCUGCUGUGAAAACCCGGGGCUUAACCCUGGGCUUGCAGUGGAUACGGGCAGACUAGAGGCAGGUAGGGGAGAAUGGAAUUCCCGGUGUAGCGGUGAAAAUGCGCAGAUAUCAGGAGGAACACCAAUGGCGAAGGCAGCACUCUGGGGACGUGAC